rnacentral:rRNA from 1 species
ACGGCUGAGUAACGCGUGGGUGACGUACCUGUUGGUGGGGAAUAACUGCCCGAAAGGGUGGCUAAUUCCGCAUAAGUCCUUUGCUUCAGUGUGAAGGGGAAAGCUUCGUAAGAGGCGCCGAUGGAGCGGCCCGCGUCCGAUUAGCUGGUUGGUGGGGUAACGGCCUACCAAGGCGACGAUCGGUAGCUGGUCUUAGAGGAUGAUCAGCCAGACUGGGACUGAGACACGGCCCAG